rnacentral:rRNA from 1 species
CCUACGGGAGGCAGCAGUGAGGAAUAUUGGUCAAUGGACGAGAGUCUGAACCAGCCAAGUAGCGUGAAGGAUGACUGCCCUAUGGGUUGUAAACUUCUUUUAUAUGGGAAUAAAAUGUUCCACGUGUGGGAUUUUGUAUGUACCAUAUGAAUAAGGAUCGGCUAACUCCGUGCCAGCAGCCGCGGUAAUACGGAGGAUCCGAGCGUUAUCCGGAUUUAUUGGGUUUAAAGGGAGCGUAGGUGGAUUGUUAAGUCAGUUGUGAAAGUUUGCGGCUCAACCGUAAAAUUGCAGUUGAAACUGGCAGUCGUGAGUACAGUAGAGGUGGGCGGAAGUCGGGGUGUAGCGGUGAAAUGCUUAGAUAUCACGAAGAACUCCGAUUGCGAAGGCAGCUCACUGGACUGCAACUGACACUGAGGCUCGAAAGUGUGGGUAUCAAACAGGAUUAGAUACCCGUGUAGUC